GAAAGAAUGGAAAGUAAUGGAUGAUUCUUGUCCUCAUAGAUAUGCUCCACUUUCUGAAGGAAGAAUUGAUCAAUGGGGAAGAUUGCAGUGUGUGUAUCAUGGUUGGUGCUUUAAUGGAGCUGGUGAUUGUAAGUUGAUCCCUCAAGCUCCUAGGGAUGGCCCUCAGGUUCAUACGUCCAAAAGAGCUUGCGCAACUGUUUAUCCAAGU
rnacentral:misc_RNA from 1 species